GACGAACGCUGGCGGCGUGCUUAACACAUGCCAGUCGAACGGAAAGGCCCUGCUUUUGUGGGGUGCUCGAGUGGCGAACGGGUGAGUAACACGUGAGUAACCUGCCCUUGACUUUGGGAUAACUUCAGGAAACUGGGGCUAAUACCGGGUAGGAGCUCCUGCUGCAUGGUGGGGGUUGGAAAGUUUCGGCGGUUGGGGAUGGACUCGCGGCUUAUCAGCUUGUUGGUGGGGUAGUGGCUUACCAAGGCUUUGACGGGUAGCCGGCCUGAGAGGGUGGCCGGCCACAUUGGGACUGAGAUACGGCCCAGACUCCUACGGGAGGCAGCAGUGGGGAAUAUUGCACAAUGGGCGGAAGCCUGAUGCAGCAACGCCGCGUGCGGGAUGACGGCCUUCGGGUUGUAAACCGCUUUCGCCUGUGACGAAGCGUGAGUGACGGUAAUGGGUAAAGAAGCACCGGCUAACUACGUG
rnacentral:rRNA from 1 species